rnacentral:rRNA from 1 species
UACGGAGGAUCCAAGCGUUAUCCGGAAUCAUUGGGUUUAAAGGGUCCGUAGGCGGUUUGGUAAGUCAGUGGUGAAAGCCCAUCGCUCAACGGUGGAACGGCCAUUGAUACUGCCAGACUUGAAUUAUUAGGAAGUAACUAGAAUAUGUAGUGUAGCGGUGAAAUGCUUAGAGAUUACAAUGGAAUACCAAUUGCGAAGGCAGGUUACUACUAAUGGAUUGACGCUGAUGGACGAAAGCGUGGGUAGCGAACAGG